ACUGAACCUUAUCAUUUAGAGGAAGGAGAAGUCGUAACAAGGUUUCCGUAGGUGAACCUGCGGAAGGAUCAUUGUCGAGACCCCGUCCAACGAACGACCCGCGAACCCGUGCAAGAACUCGGCCGCGGGGGGAGGCGAGGGCGCCCAGGCGCCCCGGACCCCCCCUCGGCCCGGCCSGGGGGGCGCUCUCCCGCGCCUCUUGGCGCGAGGGACGCCCUCCCGGCCGCACGAACGAAAACCCCGGCGCGGGACGCGCCAAGGAACAGUCGCGAACAGAGCGCGCCCCCGAGCCCCGGAGACGGGCGCUCGCGCGGGGCGCAGCCGUUCCACCCACAAGUCUAAACGACUCUCGGCAACGGAUAUCUCGGCUCUCGCAUCGAUGAAGAACGUAGCGAAAUGCGAUACUUGGUGUGAAUUGCAGAAUCCCGCGAACCAUCGAGUCUUUGAACGCAAGUUGCGCCCGAAGCCUUCGGGCCGAGGGCACGUCUGCCUGGGCGUCACACGAAGUCGCCACCCCCCGCCCGCCCACCCCGCGCGCCAAGGCCGCGGGGAGGCGCGGUCGGGCGCGGCGGCGGAUGCUGGCCUCCCGCGCGCCUCGCCGCGCGGCUGGCCCAAACGCGAGUCCCCGGCGACGAGCGCCGCGACGAUCGGUGGCCCUUCGACCCUCGGUGCAACGUCGCGCGCGCCCGUCCCCGCGCGGGGCAUCUCACGAGACCCCCCSGACGCGUCGCGCCCCGCGACGCUCACGACGCGACCCCAGGUCAGGCGGGGACACCCGCUGAGUUUAAGC
rnacentral:rRNA from 1 species